UAAAAUUUAUAAAAUUAGGUAGUAAAGAAAUUUCUGAAACCUAAAGAAUUUGGCGGUAUUUUAAAUAAUUGGAGGAACCUGUUAUUUAAUUGACAAUCCACAACAUAUCUUUCCUGAAUUUUAUUUGUAUAUCGUCGUUUUGAUAAUAUUUAAAAAUAAUAAUCAAUCUUAAUUUAAUUUUUAAAAUCAGAUCAAGGUGCAGUAUAUUUAGGUUAUAAUGGGUUACAAUAUAAGGAUAUACUAUGGAUAUAAACUUGAGAUUAUAUUGAAAGUGGAUUCAAAAGUAAAAUUAAAAUAAAAUGUUAAUUUGAUUAAUAAUUUAAAAUAUGC
rnacentral:rRNA from 1 species